GGAUAUUGUUUACAUAUGUGACA
rnacentral:siRNA from 1 species